CUCUGGUGAUCUUAGCUGAGACCCCAGUGGACUGUGUGGGGGAAGUAGGAGGAAAUUCGUAUGGCACAUGUUGUCUGUGGUGACACGUUUACUGCAGUGGCUGAGUAUUUAUCAAGAACUGGAGCCAGGAGCAUAUCUAGCAGAAUGGAGGGGAGGGCAGGCAAUAGCAGAAAAUCUGGGAGGCAGCAACAGGAGAGAAGAAUAUGUAAGGAGGCUGGAGAGAGCCAGAGAAGACGGAAGGAGAGAUCCCUGCCUGCAGACGCCCCUGGAAGGAAAAUGAAUAAAGUGUCAGUGUGAUUUUAGUACUAAUAAAAGAUGCCAGGCUGAAAGCAUUGGAGACUAAAGGUAUCUGUAUAUACACACAGAGAACAGGGAUCUGAGACAGGUGCCUGAGCCAUAACCAGAAGAGACAACCUCUACAGGUGAGUAGGGAGUUUGCACUAUAUGGCCCGUGCAGCCCUUGGUCUCAAAGCUGAGAAUGCCAGGAAGAACAUCCUUCGAUGCCAGUUAAGGGGGUGGUAUUUGUGACGUGGAUGCCUGUCAAGUGGGACCCGGGCUGAGCACCAAACUCAUUUCAUACAGGCCAGUUAACAGCCAUUGGAUGGUAAUAACUUUUAGCUACAACUGACCUGGCCUGGAUUGGAACCAGUGACUGGCUCUCCCUCUCAUUAGUAAGCAUGGCUAUUUAUCUCAGGUGACAACAGUCACAGAUGCCACAGUAACCACCAGAGAUAGCGGCUCCUAACCUCUGGCACAGAGCCAGGGUGUUUGUCAUAGGGGUCGGUGCCCACUGACUCCAGCGGUUAUUAUUGCAAUGGAUUCCAAGACCCCCUCUUCCCCACGCCUAGGACUUCUGGCUACACUUUCUCCUCCAGAGAAGCUGAAGAUGCAGGCCAGGCCCUCACCAAUGAGGCUUAAGAGCUUUUGCUAUGACUGAUUUUCUUCUGUUCCUGGUCCUUUAACAUAUUUUUUUGGCAGGGGGAAGGGGCUUGCAUGAUAUAACAGGACAUGAGACUUUAGAAAAAUUUGUCGCUCACAUUUUUUGCCAAGACUUACCACAUUUUUCCCCCAUGACUGCCAGGGAACUCUACUGUCCAUCACCUGAGCCAUCCAGCCCCGACUCAUAAAUCACCAAAUCUCCAGUGGGAUAUGUUUAGUCAAGCACACUUCGGGUUUUUAUUUCAAUAUAUGGUGUAAAAUGUUUGAGACCAACUCAGUGCUGAGGAUCUGCUUUCUGCAAGAGGGGAAACUCAGCAGAUUCUGACAUCAGAGUCAGAGCAGGACUGUGCUGACUCAGCCAAAACCAAGAAAGAAUUUUGCUUAUUUUCCCAACAUUCAAACUAAACUGCUUCUCCCACACACUGCAAAAAUGUAAAGGUUUGUCUAGACAAGAUAAAUUUGCAUCUGUGUAAUUACAUCAGUGUAGUCAUACUGAUACAAACCCCAGUGCAGAGACAAAUCAGGCUUACGCUAGUGCAGCCGUUCUCAAACUGUGGGCUGACCUCAAAGUGGGUCGCAACCCUGUUUUAAUGGGGUCGCCAGGGCUGGCUUAGACUUGCUGGGGCCAGGGGCCAAAGCCUGAGCCCCAAUGUCUGGGGCCGAAGCUGAAGGGCUUCAGCUUUGGGCAGUGGGGCUGAGAUUACAGGCCCCCUGUCUGUGGCUGAAGCCCUUGGGCUUCAGCUUUUAUUAUCCCCCCGGGGCAGUGGGGCUUUGCCCCUGCUACCACACCUCCCCCAGGGUGGCAGGGAUUGGGCGGGCUCAGGCUUCGGUCCCCACUCCUGGGGUCAUGUAGUAAGUUAUUUUGCUAUUGCAUCUUAGCACAGUGUGGGCUAUAUACCUGGAGGGGGUGGGGGGAAGGAAGCGUUGCAGAAGGCUGCAAUUCAUAUUGUCUGAAUUUACACUAGAAAUCCCUUUUGUAUGGCCAAUUUUCAAUUGUUUAUUGCUUUAGCAUUUAUAAUUUACAGCUGUGAUAUUUUACUCCAUACUGAGACUUUGCCUAUUGGGUUUCAGAGCAAUUAAUAAACUGCUUUAUAGCUUAGUAGCUUUAUAGCUUAGUAAUUAAGUGGGUUAUCAAAGAGCAAGUUCUGAUGGCAACACUAGCUUGCAGCAGCCCACAUAUUUAUGAAACAAAGAUUUCCCAGGAAAAUGGUAAUUUACCAUUUUUCUGUCUGUCGUAUCUGAUCAAAGUCUGCUGUUCUCUGGUCUUUAGAGGCCAGGAGAGGGGGCACAGACCUCAGGCUAUUUAAUACCCUGUCCCAACUCAAUAGUGAAAACUUUUUAAAAUGUCAGAUGGCCUAUUUUAAAAUUAUAACCCUAAGAGUCAGAGAGAAAAAGAAAAGCAUAAAAACACCAGAGUGGGGAUUUCCCCAUCCAUUCACCACACCACAAACUCGUGAAGAUCUAUUAGGGACUGCCAGUUUCCAAAGCCAUGGAAAUGACCUGGGCUAAUACAGGAAACACACAACUGAGUUACAAAACCCAUUACACAGUGUAUUGAAACAAACGUGUUAUUCGGCUGCACGUAAAAGUGCGGAGUUCCAACACGCCCCAGCCAGCCAGGGCUAGGACUAUGGAGGAAGAUGACUGCACCACUGAGGUAUCCUCUAAGACAGUGGUUCUCAAACUCUUUUUUCCACAGACCACUUGAAAAUUGCUGAGGGUCUCAGUGGACCACUUUAAUGAUCUUUCCAAAUGCUCUUUGUACCGUUAGCUUUGGAUAAAAACACUACAUAA